rnacentral:lncRNA from 1 species
AGAAAGAAUAAGCUGCAUAUAGUAACCAAUCUAUACAUGAUGCUAAUAUGCCUGAACAAUAAAGCAGAAAUAUGCUCAACAUUAAAUAAAUGCAGAUUAUGCAAAUUCUUUGUUCUUUUCACGUUACUCUUUGUUCUUUGUUCUUUGCUCUUUGUUCUUUAUUCUUUAUUCUUUAAUCUCAAGGCUAACCCGGGGGUUUCGCCACAUUAACUUGCUUCACAUUAAGUCCAUCAUCGCAGGAACUCACCCGCUAGGACCGUCCUUCGGGUUUACUCCAACCCGUGAUGCAUAACUCCGGAGCGCAUCGCCCGAGGGGGAGCGACCGCCCUCGAGCACGGAACUCAUAGCAAGUAUGAUCAUAUCCUUAACUCAAAGGAUUUAUAAGUUCAAUCUUGACUUUACACUAGCUCUAGUGUUCUUUCAUCACUUUUUGUUGCAAACUCAUGCGAACACAUUCUUUACAAUUCUUUAUUUUUGGCUACCUCUAGCACUUCAUGUUCUUUACUUCCCACAUUACUUUAACUUUAAGCAUUGUCAUUUUCAUCAUUCUUUACAUUACAUUGGUUCUUUACCUCACACUAUCUCUAGUGUCAUUUCACGUUAACUUUAUCGAAUGCCACUCGAUCUAUGUCAUUGUGUCACUCUAUUCUUUUGCUCACUUUGGGUGCUCACUUUUCUCUCAUGCAUACACAUAGGGUUUUCGACGUUUACAUAGUUCUCAUUCAUCAUAUUAUGCAAGUUGUACUCACAAUCAUGCAUCAUUACAUUUUCAUCAUUACUUUACCCUAAAAUGCAAGCAACAAUAUAUAUACAUGCUCAAAUGAAUAACACAUUAGGCAUAGAGAGAAGUUCAAUGAGUUUGAGAAGCACCACCCACCUCGUAGGUCUAUUUAGGUGCUCCGACAAUUUUCUUGAGAUUUAUAGGCUCCUCGUUCUUCACCUGC